rnacentral:rRNA from 1 species
AGACGGGACCCGCACAAGCGGUGGAUGAUGUGGUUUAAUUCGAUGCAACGCGAAAAACCUUUACCCACCUUUGACAUGGCAGGAAUCCCGAAGAGAUUUGGGAGUGCUCGAAAGAGAACCUGCACACAGGUGCUGCAUGGCUGUCGUCAGCUCGUGUCGUGAGAUGUUGGGUUAAGUCCCGCAACGAGCGCAACCCUUGUCAUUAGUUGCCAUCAUUUGGUUGGGCACUCUAAUGAGACUGCCGGUGACAAACCGGAGGAAGGUGGGGAUGACGUCAAGUCCUCAUGGCCCUUAUGGGUAGGGCUUCACACGUCAUACAAUGGUCGGUACAGAGGGUUGCCAACCCGCGAGGGGGAGCUAAUCCCACAAAGCCGAUCGUAGUCCGGAUCGCAGUCUGCAACUCGACUGCGUGAAGUCGGAAUCGCUAGUAAUCGUGGAUCAGCAUGUCACGGUGAAUACGUUCCCGGGUCUU